AAUAGAUACCCAGGUAGUCCAUGCCGUAAACGUUGGGAACUAGAUGUAGGGCCUGUUCCACGGGUUCUGUGUCGUAGCUAACGCAUUAAGUUCCCCGCCUGGGGAGUACGGCCGCAAGGCUAAAACUCAAAGGAAUUGACGGGGGCCCGCACAAGCGGCGGAGCAUGCGGAUUAAUUCGAUGCAACGCGAAGAACCUUACCAAGGCUUGACAUAUAGAAGAACACUGCAGAGAUGCAGGACUCUUUGGACACUUCUAUACAGGUGGUGCAUGGUUGUCGUCAGCUCGUGUCGUGAGAUGUUCGGUUAAGUCCGGCAACGAGCGCAACCCUCGUCCUAUGUUGCCAGCACGUAAUGGUGGGAACUCAUGGGAUACUGCCGUGGUCAACACGGAGGAAGGUGGGGAUGACGUCAAAUCAUCAUGCCCCUUAUGUCUUGGGCUUCACGCAUGCUACAAUGGCCGGUACAAAGGGCUGCGAUACCGCAAGGUGGAGCGAAUCCCAAAAAGCCGGUCUCAGUUCGGAUUGGGGUC
rnacentral:rRNA from 1 species